AGAAAGAGAGAGAAAGUGAGGGACGAUGUGGAGGUGCAACUCUCUUUUUUUCUCCUUCGACUUUUCUCUCUUCUUGCUUUUCCUUCCUUUUUUUGUUUUCUUUCUUUCUCAUUUUCUUAUUUUAAUCAAUGGAGGA
rnacentral:ribozyme from 1 species